GUUGAAACACCAGUUCUCGUAUGAUCACCAAAGUUAAGCAAUGUUGAGCCUGGUCAAUACCUAGAUGGGCAACUGCUUUAGAAUACCCGGUGCUGUAA